rnacentral:tRNA from 1 species
CGGGGCGUAGCGCAGUCCGGUUAGCGUACCUGCUUUGGGAGCAGGGGGUCGAGAGUUCGAAUCCCUCCGCCCCGA